UCACUUACCUGGUGCGCUCAGUUCGUGAUCAGUGAGGCGAGUUGGCUACACGGUGGCGCGCCAUUGCACUGGGGCGUGUGCUGUGUAUCAUCCCCUAAAGGGGGACUGGAGCACAUAAUUUAUGCUAGCGGGAGCUUCGCGUUCGCGCGGGUUCCCG